GAUGAACGCUGGCGGCGUGCCUAAUACAUGCAAGUCGAGCGGACGGACGAGAAGCUUGCUUCUCUGAUGUUAGCGGCGGACGGGUGAGUAACACGUGGAUAACCUACCUAUAAGACUGGGAUAACUUCGGGAAACCGGAGCUAAUACCGGAUGAUAUUUUGAACCGCAUGGUUCAAAAGUGAAAGACGGUCUUGCUGUCACUUAUAGAUGGAUCCGCGCUGCAUUAGCUAGUUGGUAAGGUAACGGCUUACCAAGGCAACGAUGCGUAGCCGACCUGAGAGGGUGAUCGGCCACCCUGGAACUGAGACACGGUCCAGACUCCUACGGGAGGCAGCAGUAGGGAAUCUUCCGCAAUGGGCGAAAGCCUGACGGAGCAACGCCGCGUGAGUGAUGAAGGUCUUCGGAUCGUAAAACUCUGUUAUUAGGGAAGAACAUAUGUGUAAGUAACUGUGCACAUCUUGACGGUACCUAAUCAGAAAGCCACGGCUAACUACGUG
rnacentral:rRNA from 1 species